rnacentral:tRNA from 1 species
GAGAUCUUAGCUCAGCUGGGAGAGCAUCUGCCUUACAAGCAGAGGGUCAUAGGUUCGAGCCCUAUAGGUCCCA